rnacentral:rRNA from 1 species
UACGUAGGGGGGCAAGCGUUUGUCCGGAUUUAUUGGGCGUAAAGAGCGUGUAGGCGGUUUUGGUAGGUCCGCUGUGAAAAAACUCGAGGCUCAACCUCGAGACGCCGGUGGAAAACCAUCAGGCUAGAGUCCGGAAAGAGGAGAGUGGAAUUCCUGGUGUAGCGGUGAAAAAUGCGCAGAUAUCAGGGAAAGAAACACCCCCGUGGGCGAAAAGGGCGGGCUCU